CAUAGUGUUCUAUCUAGCUGGGUGAAUCAUUCAUCAAACACUCAUGUCCCACACCAACUUUACUCCACCACAGAUAAGACACUGGUAGUAUUCCUGGUGGGACUGUAUGCUAGAGUAAUAACAGUGGGCCAGAGUGUCAACCUGGAUAAGACGCAGACUCUGUCUGACUGCUAGAAGAUGACUUUGACUCGACAUAUUCCUGAAUGAUCAUAAUGUCUGAUAAUGGCCUACAUAAAGUACAUUGAAAUUGGAUUUACUGGAUCAACUUCGGCAUGGUUUAAUUGACUGAAUUAAGAGUCCAACUAUUUGUGAGACUACACUACAGUGAUAGACUUGAUUACCAACAAUGAUGAGACGGCCUACAGGGAGGAGGUGAGGGCCCUCGGAGUGUGGUGUCAGGAAAAUAACCUCACACUCAAUGUCAACAAAACAAAGGAGAUGAUCGUGGACUUCAGGAAACAGCAGAGGGAGCAGCCCCCUAUCCGCAUCGACGGGACAGUAGUUGAGAGGGUGGAAAGUUUUAAGUUCCUUGGCGUACACAUCACGGACAAACUAAAUUGGUCCACCCACACAGACAGCGUGGUGAAGAAGGUGCAGCAGUGCCUCUUCAACCUCAAGAGGCUGAAGAAAUUUGGCUUGUCACCAAAAACACCAAAACUUUUACAGAUGCACAAUCGAGAGCAUCCUGUCGGGCUGUAUCACCGCCUGGUACGGAAACUGCUCCGCCCAAAACCAUAAGGCUCUCCAGAGGGUAGUGAGGUCUGCACAACGCAUCACCGGGGACAAACUACCUGCCCUCCAUGACACCUUCAGCACCCAAUGUCACAGGAAGGCCAAAAAGAUCAUCAAGGACAACAACCACCCAAGCCACUGCCUGUUCACCCCGGUAUCAUCCAGAAGGCAAGGUCAGUACAGGUGCAUCAAAGCAGGGACCAAGAGACUGAAAAACAGCUUCUAUCUCAAGGCCAUAAGACUGUUAAACAGCCAUCACUGACAUUGAGUGGCUGCUGGCAACAUACUGACUCAACUCUAGCCACUUUAAUAAUGGAAAAAUGUAUGUAAUAAAUGUAUCACUAGCCACUUUAAACAAUGUCCCUUUAUAUCAUGUUUACAUACCCUACAUUACUCAUCUCAUAUGUAUAUACUGUACUCUAUAACAUCUACUGCAUCUUGCCUAUGCCGUUCGGCCAUCACUUAUUCAUAUAUAUUUUAUGUACAUAUUCUUAUUCAUUCGUUUACACUUGUGUGUAUAAGGUAGUUGUUGUGAAAUUGUUAGGUUAGAUUACUUGUUAGAUAUUACUCAAGCAUUUCGCUACACUCGGAUUAACAUCUGCUAACCAUGUGUAUGUGACAAAUAACAUUUGAUUUGAUUUGAUUUGGACAGCUACUCCAAUCUCCGCUGUGGAGCUUUGCAGCUCCUUCAGGGUUAUCUUCGGUCUCUUUGUUGCCCUCCUUGCCUGGUCCGUGAGUUUUGGUGGGCGACCCUCUCUUGGCAGGUUUGUCGUGGUGCCAUAUUCUUUCAAUUUUUCAAUAAUUGAUUUAAUGGUGCUCUGUGGGAUGUUCGAAGUCUCUGAUAUUUUUUAUAACCCAACCCUGAUCUGUACUUCUCCACAACUUUGUCCCUGAUCUGUUUGGAGAGCUCAUUGGUCUUCACGAUGCCACUUGAUUGCUGGUGCCCUUUGCUUAGUGGUGUUACAGACUCUGGGGCCUUUCAGAACAGGUGUAUAUAUACUGAGAUCAUGUGGCAGAUCAUGUAACACUUAGGUUGCACGCAGGUGGAAUUUAUUUAACUAAUUAUGUGACUUCUGAAGGUAAUUGGUUGCACCAGAUCUUAUUUAGGGGCUUCAUAGCAAAAGGGGUGAAUACAUAUGUACGCACCACUUUUCUGUUUGUUUUUUUAAAGUAAUUUUAUCAAUUUCACUUUACCAAUUUGAACUAUUUUGUCUAUGUCCAUACAUGAAAUCAUAAUACAAAUAUAUUUUAAUAACAGGUUGUUAUGCAAUAAAACAGGAAAAACGCCAAGGGGGAUGAAUAUUUUUGCAAGGCACUGUAUAACAUCGAACAUACAGUACUUUGAGUAACAUUCCAAAUGAAAUCAAAUGUUUUGUCACAUGCCCUGAAUACAACAUGAAAUGCUUACUCUACAAGCCCUUAACCAACAAUGCAGUUUAAGAAAUAGAGUUAAGAAAAUAUUUACUGUUGUAAAGAAUCUAACUAAAGGUAACACAAUAAAAUGUCAUAACAACAAAGAGGCUAUAUACAGGGUACCGGUACCGAGUCAAUGUGCGGGGGUAUAGGUUAGUCGGGGUAAAUUGUACAUGUAGUUAGGGGUAAAGUGACUAGUCUGGGUGGCCAUUUGAGUCAUUGUUCAGUAGUCUGAACUUGGGAGUACUGAACGUAACGUGCCAAUGUAAACUCAGAUUUUUGGAUAUAAAUAUGAACUUUAUCAAACAAAAUAUAGAUGUAUUGUGUAACAUUAUGUCCUAUGAGUGUCAUCUGAUGAAGAUCAUCAAAGGUUAGUGAUUAAUUUGAUCUCUAUUUCUGCUUUUUGUGACUCCUCUCUUUGGCUGGAAAAAUGGCUGUGUUUUUCUGUGACUAGGUACUGACCUAACAUAAUCGUUUGGUGUGCUUUCGUCGUAAAGCCUUUUUGAAAUCUGACACUGUGGCUGGAUUUACAACAAGUUUAUCCUUGCCUUUUUCUUCACGUGAAUGACGUGGAUUUGGGGCUGAUCUCUGGAAAUCAGUAUAUCCUUUGUGUCUUACUCAUUAAAGAAAAAAUCUUUGUCCAGUUCGAGAUGAGUAAUCGCUGUUCUGAUGUCCAGAAGCUCUUUUCAGUCAUAAGAGACAGUAGCAACAGCGUUGUGUACAAAAUAAGUUUCAAACAAUACAAAAUAACUAACAAAAUAGCACAGUUGGUGAGGAGCCCGUUAAACGGCAGCCAUCCUCUCCGGCGUCAUUAUUCA
ensembl:lncRNA